GGACGAAGGAGCGGUCUGUGAGCACUUGUGCUAAGGUGGACUUUAUUCACACUCCUGAGUCCUGCCAUUUGGAGGGGCUGCCUUUGGAAAUGAGUUCUGGGAACUGAGCACAGGAACUGGGUGCCUGUACCAGGCUUGCCAUUUGCCUGACCAAGUUUCUCUUCUUUGGAUCCCGGCGCUGCAGUAGUUUGGAAUUGUAAGAUGCGGGUUUAUAGUAUUUGCACUCUAAAUCUGGUCCCCAGGAUUCUUACUGUCACUCCAUCUUUGAGGAGGGAGCAACAAGCUCUGCCCGUUGGUCUUGUUUGUUUGCAGCUCUAACUUCUAAAAGUUUGGAGUAUAGCCUUUUCCUGAGCGUAAUGAAAGAAGACAAGUCUUACAGUGUUAAGUGUUUUCCUCAGGUUGCUUGGACAGUGAAAGUCAGAGAUCAGGCCACCUUUCUGCGAGCCUUCUGCUGGUUCUGAAGGAGUUCUUGAUCAGAAUGGCUUCGGGAUGGUUUUACAUGUCCUGCAUGGUGCUGGGAUCCCUGGGAUCAAUGUGCAUCCUCUUCACUACCUACUGGAUGCAGUACUGGCGCGGUGGCUUUGCCUGGGAUGGCACUGUGCUCAUGUUCAACUGGCACCCAGUGCUCAUGGUCUCCGGCAUGGUGGUGCUCUAUGGAGCCGCCUCACUGGUGUACCGCCUGCCUGCAUCAUGGGUGGGGCCCAAGCUGCCC
rnacentral:lncRNA from 1 species